rnacentral:rRNA from 1 species
CUGUCGGUGUCAACUGGCAUGUUCUGUGGAACGUCCUGCCGGUGGCGGUCCGGGCUCUCGUUCUGCGUAAGGGUUACCCGAAGCAGUUCGAAAAGUUCCGGCCGCCGGUUCAAUCCCGCCACGGUGCUCUUCACCGAGUGUCGAGGUGGGCCGGCACUUUUACUUUGAACAAAUUAGAGUGCUUAAAGCAGGCGGUUUCCGCCUGAAUACUGUGUGCAUGGAAUAAUGGAAUAGGACCUCGGUUCUAUUUUGUUGGUUUUCAGAACCCGAGGUAAUGAUUAAUAGGGACAGGCGGGGGCAUUCGUAUUGCGACGUUAGAGGUGAAAUUCUUGGAUCGUCGCAAGACGAACCAAAGCGAAAGCAUUUGCCAAGUAUGUUCUCGUUAAUCAAGAACGAAAGUUAGAGGUUCGAAGGCGAUCAGAUACCGCCCUAGUUCUAACCAUAAACGAUGCCAGCCAGCGAUCCGCCGAAGUUCCUCCGAUGACUCGGCGGGCAGCUUCCGGGAAACCAAAGCUUUUGGGUUCCGGGGGAAGUAUGGUUGCAAAGCUGAAACUUAAAGGAAUUGACGGAAGGGCACCACCAGGAGUGGAGCCUGCGGCUUAAUUUGACUCAACACGGGAAACCUCACCAGGCCCGGACACCGGAAGGAUUGACAGAUUGAGAGCUCUUUCUUGAUUCGGUGGGUGGUGGUGCAUGGCCGUUCUUAGUUGGUGGAGCGAUUUGUCUGGUUAAUUCCGAUAACGAACGAGACUCUAGCCUGUUAACUAGGCGAUUUCCGGUACCAACAAUAGUUACCGGCGAUUCAAUUUCUUCUUAGAGGGACAGGCGGCUUCUAGCCGCACGAGACUGAGCAAUAACAGGUCUGUAAUGCCCUUAGAUGUUCUGGGCCGCACGCGCGCUACACUGAAGGAAUCAGCGUGUCUUCCCUGGCCGACAGGCCCGGGUAACCCGUUGAACCUCCUUCGUGCUAGGGAUUGGGGCUUGCAAUUGUUCCCCAUGAACGAGGAAUUCCCAGUAAGCGCGAGUCAUAAGCUCGCGUUGAUUACGUCCCUGCCCUUUGUACACACCGCCCGUCGCUACUACCGAUUGAAUGAUUUAGUGAGGUCUUCGGACUGGUGCGCGGAAGUCGGUCUCCGGCAGCCGAUGUUGCCGGAA